GUGGGGUGAGGGGAGAGCUCUGGCGGGCGCAGCCUGUGAGUGGCACCAGAAUGGAUGUGCCCAGCGCAGCCUCUGCACACCCUCCUGGGAACAAUGAGACCCAACAAAGGGCUCUCCGCUCUCCCACACGGUGAGCCGCAUCCUUCCCUCACGCAGGAAAGCGAGGCACUGAAGAGGGAGGGCCACCCCACCAUGCACAGUGGCCAGGUGCCCUGGACAGAGACCUGGGGCCCUUCCCCUGCCCUGCUCCGGAUCUGCUGCCCCCACACUGUUCCCUCUACAUCCCUCUUUGCACACCCUCUCUUGGCCUUGAGAAAGUGUCUCAGUUUCUGUUCCUUACUGAAGGCGCCAGGCAUCCUGUCUCCGGGGGAAACCCCAUCAGGCCGCUACCCUAGUUCCUGGGGCCCACGCACCGCAAUCAAACCUGGGAACUAUUCAGGCCAGUAACAGUCCAGAAGUCACCCACAGAACAGUCCUCAGCACCCAGGACUCUCUUUCAUAGGUUAGUGUUUACUGAGCCCUUAGUGUGAACAGCCUGAUGCUGGGGGCUCCAGGGCUAAGAGGAAAGUGUAAGACACCCCACCACCACCACCACCACCCAAGGAAGCUCACCAUCCAGUAACAGAGAGAAGGCUCACGGCGGACUCCCAUUCAACAAUAAGGCAAGACAGGAUGUGACUAAGUAUAAGGUGAAACUGCCGAAGAGGAGUCACAAGUGUCAGUUCAAGAUUCAUUUCACCUGAAACUGGACGGACUGUUUAUCGGCUGAGAACAGAUAACACAGAAAGCUCUACCCUGCAUGAGCAAAGUGGAGAAAGCAGGGUGAAGACAGACAGCCUCAAGUUCUUCCAUAGCUCCAGGUCUGGAACUAAGCUAGGGAGAAAGAACACAAUGACUUAAGUCCCUGCCCUGGGUAAGGCUAGAGGAAGAUGGAAUCGCUUCCCUGUCGUACAGGUGGGAAACCUGGCCUGAAGGGAGUGAGCAUCCACCCAAAGCGACCGGGCGAGUCUGGCAGUGCUGAGCUGAGAAACAGCCCAGCAUCUGCACUUCAGUCAACUAGAUCUCCACACAGUUGGCAGUUCUCGCUGUGAACCACGUAAGCGUCACUUUGUGGGAAAACAGAACAGAAGGGUCCACUUUUGCUCCUGGAGACCUGAUUUCCAACUCUGCCUCAGUCACUAAAUAACUUUAAUUUUCUUACUGGAAGAAAAUGAAAUAAGUGUGCUAAUUUAAAGGGCUGUAACACAACAUUGUACAAUGACUAUAACUCAAUUUUUUAAAGUUUAUAAAAUUUUAAAAUUUUAAAAAAUUUUAAAAAAUAAUAAAGGGCCGUUGUAAGUAUUAACUCAGGCAGUGGACCUGAAUUUGCUCUGGAAGUACAAGGUGCUAUGUAAGUGUGUGCUGUUGUUCCACAGGUGGAAUCCCCCCUCUGUCCUAUAAGCUGCAUUCAGAUCUCCUAUCCCCGCCCUCCUCCAGUUUAUCCCAGGCCUGGUGACUGGUUGCCAGAAGCUAACUGUAAUCCUGACUUCUCCCCUCAGGCCACAAUGUGCUGACUCAUGAUCUUUCCCCUCCAGCUUCUCAAUGGCACAGCCAGAUGCUGACCUAGCCGCCUAGAACCCGUCAUCCGUGGGUCAGGAGGAUUCUGGUACUUUUCAUCUGGAGCCCCUUCUGCCUCUCCAGCCCCUCUUCAGCCCAUCUGCAAGGCACUUUGAGUUGCUCAGCAAGAGGCCAUGUGGUGGGGCAAGCAGGACUCUGGCUCCUGAGACCGCCCUGUCGGAGGAUCUAUAUAGGCAACAAAAAACAGGCAAUGUGGAGCUCACUGUCCAACUUGUCCUGAAAUGUUAUUUUUCUCAGUUUCACGAAGGAAUGUUGACAAAUGUAGAGCUCUCGGCAAUUUUGCUCUGUGAGGAAACAUUUGGGCAAACUGAGAGGAGCCAAGCAACAGGAGUCCUGCCUCCCACCACUCCCUCCCCUCCCCAGCCAAGCUGGGAAGGUGGCAGGGAGCCAUCCAGGAUUUAUCCAGGCAGGGUGACAUCUACCACGGCUCCAGCAGAGAAGGGCCGCAGGCAGGCACACUGAGGGCACGCAAUAAAACCCGGAAGACCCUCUUUCCAGCACCAGGAACAGAUGCACACGCUGCCAGAAAGGGGCUGGGGUUGCUCCUUAGUCAAGGUGGGGCUUCAGGCUCCUGGGUCUGGCUUUCUCACGAUGCUGUCUCAGAGGAGGGAGGAGGCUGGGUUCUGCAAAACGAAAGCAGCAGGAGAGCUGAGGCUGAGGAGGUGGGUGGCUCUUAUUCUGGACUGAGAACCAGGAGACUGGACUGGAUUCAGAGCCGAGCUCCUUUGCUUGCAGGUGAAAGGUGCUGGUCCAGCUGCCGCCACCUGCUCCGGGCCCAAGAUGCUGUGAUGGAGGGAGCUGCUUUUGGAUCCCCGUGGACAGAGACUACCUAGACACAAGUUCAGAAGAAGCAUAACAAAGCGACUGGCCUCCUGACUCGGCCAGUUCUUCCCUGCAGCUCUUCCAGAGUCCCACCACUCAGACCCCACCUCCUGCCUCCUCUGAGUAGAGCAUCAUGAGAAAGCCAGUCCCAGGAGCCCGCAGCCCCACCUUGACUAAGGAGCAGAUGCCAGCCCCUCUCCACCAGCACGUGCAUCUGUCCCCGGUGCCGGAAAGCGGGCCUCGUGUUUAACUGCGUGCCCUCAACAUCCGCCGCGCCCGUGUCCCUGCUCUGCUGGAGCAGUAGUAGAUGUCACCUUGCCCAGAUAAGCCCCUGAUGGCUCCCUGCAGCCAUCAGCCUCGGACACUUUUAAGUCCCUUCCUGGCCUUGAGACUCUUUGGACGGGGACCUAUGACGCUGGUCACACCUUGAAC